UACGGGGGGGGCAAGCGUUGUUCGGAAUUACUGGGCGUAAAGGGCGUGUAGGCGGCUUGCUAAGUCAGACGUGAAAUCCCUCAGCUUAACUGGGGAACUGCGUCUGAGACUGGCGAGCUUGAGGGCAGGAGAGGAACGCGGAAUUCCAGGUGUAGCGGUGAAAUGCGUAGAUAUCUGGAGGAACACCGGUGGCGAAGGCGGCGUUCUGGACUGCAUCUGACGCUGAAAGACGAAAGCCAGGGGAGCAAACGGG
rnacentral:rRNA from 1 species